rnacentral:rRNA from 2 species
ACACGGGCCCGACUCGUACGGGAGGCAGCAGUAAGGAAUAUUGGUCCAUGGACGCAAGUCUGAACCAGCCAUGCCGCGUGGAGGAUGAAGGCCCUCUGGGUUGUAAACUUCUUUUCUUUGGGACGAAACCCCUGUUUCUACGGGGACUGACGGUACCAGAGGAAUAAGCACCGGCUAACUCCGUGCCAGCAGCCGCGGUAAUACGGAGGGUGCAAGCGUUAUCCGGAUUCACUGGGUUUAAAGGGAGCGUAGGUGGGCUUUUAAGUCAGUGGUGAAAUCUUUGGGCUUAACCCGAAAACUGCCAUUGAUACUAUUAGUCUUGAAUUCUCUGGAGGUAAGCGGAAUAUGUCAUGUAGCGGUGAAAUGCUUAGAUAUGACAUAGAACACCCAUUGCGAAGGCAGCUUACUACGGAGACAUUGACACUGAGGCUCGAAGAGCGUGGGGAUCAAACAGGAUUAGAUACCCUGGUAGUCCACGCCCUAAACGAUGAUUACUCGACAUUAGCGAUAUUACUAGUUAGUGUCUAAGCGAAAGCAUUAAGUAAUCCACCUGGGAAGUA